rnacentral:rRNA from 1 species
UUGGAGGGCAAGUCUGGUGCCAGCAGCCGCGGUAAUUCCAGCUCCAAUAGCGUAUAUUAAAGUUGCUGCAGUUAAAAAGCUCGUAGUUGAAUUUCGGGACCAAUAUGUCGGUCGUGCCUCGGUAUGUACUGGCAUCGUUGGUCUCUCCCUUCUGACGAACCAUGAUGUCAUUUAUUUGGUGUCGUGGGGAAUCAGGACUGUUACUUUGAAAAAAUUAGAGUGUUUAAAGCAGGCUCACGCUUGAAUACAUUAGCAUGGAAUAAUGAAAUAGGACGUUUGAUUCUAUUUUGUUGGUUUCUAGGAUCGACGUAAUGAUUAAUAGGGAUAGUUGGGGGCAUUAGUAUUCAAUUGUCAGAGGUGAAAUUCUUGGAUUUAUUGAAGACUGACUACUGCGAAAGCAUUUGCCAAGGAUGUUUUCAUUAAUCAAGAACGAAAGUUAGGGGAUCGAAGACGAUCAGAUACCGUCGUAGUCUUACCAUAAACUAUGCCGACUAGGGAUCGGAUGAUGGUUUUUUUAUGCCCCGUUCGGCACCUUACGGGAAAC